GAUGAACGCUGGCGGCGUGCCUAAUACAUGCAAGUCGAGCGAACGGACGAGAAGCUUGCUUCUCUGAUGUUAGCGGCGGAUGGGUGAGUAACACGUGGAUAACCUACCUAUAAGACUGGGAUAACUUCGGGAAACCGGAGCUAAUACCGGAUAGUAUUUUGAACCGCAUGGUUCAAAAGUGAAAGACGGUCUUGCUGUCACUUAUAGAUGGAUCCGCGCUGCAUUAGCUAGUUGGUAAGGUAACGGCUUACCAAGGCAACGAUGCAUAGCCGACCUGAGAGGGUGAUCGGCCACACUGGAACUGAGACACGGUCCAGACUCCUACGGGAGGCAGCAGUAGGGAAUCUUCCGCAAUGGGCGAAAGCCUGACGGAGCAACGCCGCGUGAGUGAUGAAGGUCUUCGGAUCGUAAAACUCUGUUAUUAGGGAAGAACAUAUGUGUAAGUAACUGUGCACAUCUUGACGGUACCUAAUCAGAAAGCCACGGCUAACUACGUGCCAGCAGCCGCGGUAAUACGUAGGUGGCAAGCGUUAUCCGGAAUUAUUGGGCGUAAAGCGCGCGUAGGCGGUUUUUUAAGUCUGAUGUGAAAGCCCACGGCUCAACCGUGGAGGGUCAUUGGAAACUGGAAAACUUGAGUGCAGAAGAGGAAAGUGGAAUUCCAUGUGUAGCGGUGAAAUGCGCAGAGAUAUGGAGGAACACCAGUGGCGAAGGCGACUUUCUGGUCUGUAACUGACGCUGAUGUGCGAAAGCGUGGGGAUCAAACAGGAUUAGAUACCCUGGUAGUCCACGCCGUAAACGAUGAGUGCUAAGUGUUAGGGGGUUUCCGCCCCUUAGUGCUGCAGCUAACGCAUUAAGCACUCCGCCUGGGGAGUACGACCGCAAGGUUGAAACUCAAAGGAAUUGACGGGGACCCGCACAAGCGGUGGAGCAUGUGGUUUAAUUCGAAGCAACGCGAAGAACCUUACCAAAUCGUGACAUCCUUUGACAACUCUAGAGAUAGAGCCUUCCCCUUCGGGGGACAAAGUGACAGGUGGUGCAUGGUUGUCGUCAGCUCGUGUCGUGAGAUGUUGGGUUAAGUCCCGCAACGAGCGCAACCCUUAAGCUUAGUUGCCAUCAUUAAGUUGGGCACUCUAAGUUGACUGCCGGUGACAAACCGGAGGAAGGUGGGGAUGACGUCAAAUCAUCAUGCCCCUUAUGAUUUGGGCUACACACGUGCUACAAUGGACAAUACAAAGGGCAGCGAAACCGCGAGGUCAAGCAAAUCCCAUAAAGUUGUUCUCAGUUCGGAUUGUAGUCUGCAACUCGACUACAUGAAGCUGGAAUCGCUAGUAAUCGUAGAUCAGCAUGCUACGGUGAAUACGUUCCCGGGUCU
rnacentral:rRNA from 1 species